GGUUAAUUGACAUUUCCCACAUUUGUCUUUUUUUUUUUUUUUUCCCGAAGAGGACAACCUUCCCCGAUAGAGGAGGACCGGUCUUCGGUCAAGGGUAUACGAGUAGCUGCGCUCCCCUGCUAGAACCUCCAAACAAGCUCUCCCACAUUUGUCUUAUAGAUCUGUAUUCUUUUUUUUU
rfam:Ictidomys tridecemlineatus contig054299, whole genome shotgun sequence.